UUAAAUUGAAGAGUUUGAUCAUGGCUCAGAUUGAACGCUGGCGGCAGGCCUAACACAUGCAAGUCGAACGGUAACAGGAAGCGCUUGCUGCUUCGCUGACGAGUGGCGG
rnacentral:rRNA from 1 species